CCGUCAUUGACUAGAACUCUGUUAAAGCGGAUGAAGCCAAAGUCUCCAGAGAAGGGCAGCUGUGUGAGGCCGGCAGAGAAGGAGAAAGGAUCUGCAAAGGCUCCGCUGUCGGCUGAGACUGUAACGGAAAACAACCAUAGUUUCUAAGAUUGAGAGAGAUGGAUUUUACCUGGUGUUUCAACUGGAGUGUGAUACAUCAGGUUCCAGGGCACCUUUGCUGCCACAGGAACUACAAGGUCCCUAUCGCACCAUUGUUUCGGACGAUGGUUUAAGAAAGGGAGGCACGGGUGAUGGGGCCUCAGUCAUGACAUCACAGCUGAGGGUAGUCGAAGCAUCUGGUCCUGGGUGUGGAGCCCUGCUUCUCCCCUCUCCAUCAAGACUGGUUCCAGCAGUGAGUCAGGGCCCUUAAUGAGGACCAGACUCCACACAUCAGGCUGAGGUCACCCUACGGGAAUCUCUGGAGGUCUGUGCGGAGGUUGCUGGUUAACCCUGUCAAAGCGGACUGGAGAUCCUGGACUGUCUGAGACAAGCGCUGAACUUCACCUUCGAGAAGGUGCACCUUAUCUGUCCCGCCAUGCCUCGUCUCAUGGUGUCCUG